rnacentral:rRNA from 1 species
GCCUGGACGUAACACGGCACCACCCCGCCCGCCAAAUAACUACGAGUGAAAACUUAAAACUUAAAAGACUUGACGGUACUUCACACCCAACCUAGAGGAGCCUGUCUACUAACCGAUAAUCCACGAUUAACCCAACCACUUCUAGCCACCCAGCCUAUAUACCACCGUCGCCAGCCUACCUUGUAAAAGAAACAAAGUGAGCCAAACAGUACUACACUAACACGACAGGUCAAGGUGUAACUAAUGAAGCGGACUAAGAUGGGCUACAUUCUCUACCCCAGAUUACACGAACAAGGCUAUGAAACUAACCUUUAAAGGCGGAUUUAGCAGUAAGCUGAGAACAAAAUACUCAACUGAAACCAAUGCAAUGAAGUGCGU